rnacentral:rRNA from 1 species
GAAUUGACGGGGGCCCGCACAAGCAGUGGAGCAUGUGGUUUAAUUCGAAGCAACGCGAAGAACCUUACCAGGGCUUGACAUCCCUCUGACCGGUGUAGAGAUACACCUUCCCUUCGGGGCAGGGGAGACAGGUGGUGCAUGGUUGUCGUCAGCUCGUGUCGUGAGAUGUUGGGUUAAGUCCCGCAACGAGCGCAACCCUUGUCGUUAGUUGCCAGCACUUUGGGUGGGCACUCUAACGAGACUGCCGGUGACAAAUCGGAGGAAGGUGGGGAUGACGUCAAAUCAUCAUGCCCCUUAUGUCCUGGGCUACACACGUGCUACAAUGGCGACUACAGAGGGAAGCAAAGCCGCGAGGUGGAGCAAAUCCCCAAAAGUCGUCCCAGUUCGGAUUGCAGGCUGCAACUCGCCUGCAUGAAGUCGGAAUUGCUAGUAAUGGCAGGUCAGCACACCGCCGUGAAUACGUUCCCGGGCCUUGUACACACCG